rnacentral:rRNA from 1 species
GACGAACGCUGGCGGCGUGCCUAAUACAUGCAAGUAGAACGCUGAAGGAGGAGCUUGCUUCUCUGGAUGAGUUGCGAACGGGUGAGUAACGCGUAGGUAACCUGCCUGGUAGCGGGGGAUAACUAUUGGAAACGAUAGCUAAUACCGCAUAACAGUAGAUAUCGCAUGAUAUCUACUUGAAAGGUGCAAUUGCAUCACUACCAGAUGGACCUGCGUUGUAUUAGCUAGUUGGUGAGGUAACGGCUCACCAAGGCGACGAUACAUAGCCGACCUGAGAGGGUGAUCGGCCACACUGGGACUGAGACACGGCCCAGACUCCUACGGGAGGCAGCAGUAGGGAAUCUUCGGCAAUGGACGGAAGUCUGACCGAGCAACGCCGCGUGAGUGAAGAAGGUUGUCGGAUCGUAAAGCUCUGUUGUAAGAGAGGAACGAGUGUGAGAGUGGAAAGUUCACACUGUGACGGUAUCUUACCAGAAAGGGACGGCUAACUACGUG